CCUCCUGCCUACAUUUUUAGUAAUGGGCUACAUUUCUGUGAUUAUUGUUUAUUUUUUAUGAAUUACAUUUAUUUUUUUGUAGCUCUCAUGGAAUUUGGAGGGCACUCUAAUACCUUGUGAUUAUUUGAAGAUUUUCUCCUGGCUUUUCUGUUCAUACUACUUUCUACCUUCGUCUGGGAUGUCCAUCAUAUCUUGACCUCCUGGAGACUACCCACGUAACCUUUAGGACCUAGUUCAAGCAGUACUUUCUUUGUGAAGCCUGCCUUUCUCAAACCCCCAGGAAGAAUGAAUCAUGUCCUCCUUUGGGUCCUCCACAAAGUUGUGAGAAUCUUUCCAACCUAUUAAUUGUUCUCACAAAUUGUUUAUUUGUUCUUCAUAAAUGUAGUGUUUUCUCUAUGAGUUGGAUGGUAUCUGAUUCCCUUUCUAUGUUCUCAGGGCCUAACACAGAAGAAACUCAGAAAUGUUUGUUGAACUUAACUUCCAAAUUCAGUAGAAUUACCUGUGAGGAAUACUCUAGUGCACAUAGGGAUCUAAGUAUGUUUAGCCUGGGGAAGAAAAUACAAAGGAGGGUAGGAGCUUAAAUAUCCCAAGGCCUGUCAGAUUCUGUGCUCAGUUAAGCACAAUGUAAACCAGUGGGUAAAAGUUGGAAGGACAUUUUGUCUCAGUUUAAGAAUUAACUUUCUAAUAGUGAAUAUCUAAUAAUAGAACAGGUUACCUUAAAAACAAUCACGAGUUCCUCAUCAAGUAGAGUCUUCAAGCAUAGGCUGAACAAGUCUGUGACAAAUGUACUGAGGAAGGAAUUCUUUCCUGCAUUCUGAAGGAUAUUGAAUCAGAUGACCUCAGAAGAGUGUUUUGAUCUUAACAGUUCUGGUGCUGUUAAAGAAUAAUUUCCCAAAAGUUGAUAAUAUGACUCCCAUACAUGUAAAGAAUGAAGAAGUGUUAAAGAGUUUAUUCAACCCUUUGAUGAGGCAACUAGAGACAUGGUAAAACAAGUUCAAUAAGAAUUAGAAGAAUAGGAAUGAUCUCCACCAGAUAUAACACAUAUAUAUAUAAAACAUUCUGAUAUAACUUUGCUGAGUUUGAGACAAAACUAGUUAAUGUCCUUCAAGGCAAUAAAAUUGUAACCUUUAGGGUUAUCUUUUUUAUCAGACAGAAAUGAUUUGCAUCUCCACUGGACAAGGUCUACAGGUUAACAUGUAACUUCACAGAGAUUAGAGCCCUUACCUAAUAGUAAGUAGAAGAAGCAAAUACAGUGACAGUCCUCUAAAAAAGUUAAUAUGUGGACAAGCCUGUUAAACAAUGCCCCAGUGUAUUAGCUUCUUAGAGCUGCUGUAACAAAUUACCCCACCUGGGUGGCUUAAAACCACAUAAAAUUUAUUCUCUCACAGUUCAAGAGAAUAGAAGUCUGAAAUCAAAGUGUCACCAGCAUUGGUUCUUUCUGGAGGCUGUGAGGGAGAAUCCACACUUCUCCUCUAGCUGCUGGUGAUGGCUGGCAAUCCUUGGUGUUGCUUGGCUUGUAGGCACAUCACCUCUCUGCCUCUGUCAUAAUGUGGUGUUCUUCCCUGUGUGUCUUCCCUGGUGUCCUCUCUUAUUAGGACUCCAGUCAUAUUGGAUUUAGGGCCCACCCUACUCCAGCAUGACCUCAUCUUAACUAAUUCCAUCUGCAAAGACCCUAUUUCCAAACAAGGUCAUUCUGAGGUUCUGGAAAGUGCAUGACUUUGGGAGGGAUAGAGGGGACACUAUUCAACCUACUACACCCAUUAGGACAGUAAAAGGACGUGCCACCUACUUUUGAACCUUAUUUCCAAGUUUUAAAGACUUCUCAGUUGUGGCAGUCCCUUACUUUCCUAGUCUCUCCCUGAUGUCUUGUGUGUUUCAAUGUUAGUCACCACCUGCAACUAUCUCUAUAUUGAUAAAAUACAAAGGAAAGAUACUAAGUAUGUGUCUAACAGAGGAAUAAGGUAGAGAUAAAAUAAGAAUACUUGAAUGUAAUGAUGCAAAGGCUUCAUGUCCAGUGCAGGUCUCAGGUCACUCAGUGACCUUACUAUCUGGGGAGAAAUCAUUUUCAUGAGCUGUUUUGGUGUGUAACAUGUCCCUGGAAUUAUUUAGUCAGAUUCAAGAGAGUCAGUCUUGGCACACAUUAAAAACAGAGGAGGGGAUUUUACAUUAUACACGCAGCUUCCCUGCCCUCCUUUUUUUGUUUAAAUGAAAGCUUAAAUAGGAUGUCCAGUUAGGCAGAAUUAAGGAUUUUAUAGCAGAGGACUUACUAGCAUUCAUCUAGGUUAGCCUAUGUAGCAAGUCUCUUUAGAGCAGAUUUUUUUUGGUGGGUGGGGAAGGGAGUCAAUUCAAAGUCCCCUCUUAGUGAUACAAAUGUUAGAUGAAUAGGGAUCAUUUAUCCUGGGGGAAGAUUCCGGCAUAAUUUAACAGGAGCUUCUUUAAACUUCGUUCCAAAAACAAACAACAUCUCUGGUUGGCAGAGAUGGUUACUGAAUUACAAGGUGGGUAGAUUUGAGUGGAAAGGGAUUGAGACUCAUUUCCUAUACUUUCACUAUUGAGAUUCCAUGUUCUUGAGGCUUUUUCUGAUGAAUCAAAAUGGCCCCAACCCAGCUGAAGUCAGUUGAUGGGAAAGGCCACCUAGGACUCAGAUGGGAACUCAUUUAUUUAUCCAUUCAUCAUUCUAUCUAUCUAUCUAUCUAUCUAUCUAUCUAUCUAUAUUGAUCUACUGGGGAGGGACGGUAUCUGGGCUGGUAAACUAGGCUCACCACAGACUUAAAUAUUUGCAGGCUUCUCAAAUCUAACUGUUCCAGCCAAGAGUCAUGCCAGAGAAAUGGCUGAGCAUGUGGUUGAAUUAAAUGUGGUAUCACCUGAGGUCCAGGUGUGGGUGCGGGGUACAACUGUGUCCAAGACCAAGAAGCCAUAACUGCCAACUGGGCAUCUAUCAGGCAUGGUGGCCCCAGAGAGAUGGUGCUGGGCUUAACCUGCGAAACUCAGGUUUUCCUCUGCCUGGUCCUUGGGGGCUGAGCAAUUCUUUGCACUGCCAUGGCAGGUAUGCAGAACCUUUCCAGAAGGAGAUAAUGACAUUUCUGAGAAAUAGGGCAGGUAAUGGCACAAGCAAGAAAUUAGAAGAAUAAAAGGGAUAAUGACCUUGGUUUUCUCCAGGUUGAUAAAAUAGCUCAACCAGUUACAAGGCAUUCAGUGACUUGCCUAAUUUUCAUCUUGCUACAAGUCACCCCUAGAAAGCUUGUCCUUGGGAUGUCCCCUCUUGAAACCCAGCCACCAUGAUGUGAGAAGCUCCAGACAACAUGUGCCCAUUUGAACCCCCAGUCAGAUGGCCAGCAUCCACUGCCAGCCAUGUGAGUGCGCCAUCUUGGACAUUCCAGUCUAGUUGAGGACCCACAUGUUUGCAGCCCCAGCUGCCUGUGAUGAUGUGAAAAUGGAAAACAGUAUCUAAUGAACUUAUGAAUUUGGCUAAGACGUCAGUUGAACUCCUAGAUGCCUUCAGACCCAGAUCACAUCAUGUGGGGCAAAAGAAACACCCAGGUUCUUGAGUGGCAAGCACAGGAUUCAGAUAACGCCUAAUGCCAACCCAGCAGUCAGCUGUGAGAAUUGAGCUGUUAAAUGGUUACAGUUAACAGUAGGGUUGAAUUUCCUGCAUAUGUAAAAAGUUGACUGUGGCCUUCUUCAUGCUCCUAUGGUACACUCGUCAUUCUGCAGAAGCAGGAUGGGUGAAUUUGCAGACCCAGAAAUUCUGAGCAAUAAAGACACAAUAUAACCAGUGUAUCACUGAAAUCAUUUUUCUUACAGACACAAUACUGCACUUUAGUGUCAGUGUUAUCUGAGGCUGUAUUUUGCUUAAGAUAAUGAGUUCUGGUACUAAGAAAUUGGAAAUUCUCAAAGGCGUUCACUUUUAAUUUAAACCCAAGUUAAAGGUACAGAGUGGAGACAUCACCAUCAUUGUCAGGGCAUCCGGGGCUUAUUUCUAUCCAGAUUUACUUGUUCCUCCUGUUGGAUGAUGGUGCUGUGCCCUAGCAGCAGCUCUCUGUGGGAAACCUUAGGAACAAUCUUGUGUUAGAAAACGAGGACCAAACCUCGGAAGGAAUGAUGCCUUAAUUAGUUUAAUUAUUCAUGAACUGAUUUAGACUCAUCAACCCUUAUAUGCUAGACAUAGUGCUAAACACCAAACACUCGGGUUACACAGAUGACGACGUGUGGCCCCUGCCCGAGAGGGACUUGUAGGCUGGUCGAGGUUACAGCGUGAAAUGGGUACCCGGAGGUCUCACCCGGCUGCAGAGAGGAGGGAGCGCUCGGAGGUUACUGGAAAGCCCAUUCCAGGUCUCCCUCCUUCCCUGCGUGUUUCAACUGGAUUGGGCACUCCUUUUGAAAGAGAGAAGAUUCCUCAAAAAGUUAGAUAUAGAAUAAGCCUGUGACCCAGCAAUUCCACUCCUAGGUAUACACCCAAGAGAAAUGAAAACAUGUCCACACAGAAACUCGUUGCAGCGUUAUUCAUAGAAGCCAGGAGGUGGAAACAACACAAAUGCCCAUCACCAGAUGAAUGGAUACACUGAUGUGAUCUAACCGCGCAGUGACUAGUACUCAGCCAUACAAAGGAAUGAAGCACUAACACAGGCUGCAAUGUGGAUGAACCUUGAAAACUUGAUGCUAAGGGAAAGAAGCCAGACACAAAAGAUCACAUAUUGACAUAUUGUAUGAUUGCAUUGAUAUGAAAUGUCCAGAAUAGAUAAAUCCAAAGAGAUAGAAAGCAGAUUGGUGGUUGCCUGGGACUGGGGAGAGGGGAAUGGAGACUGACUGCUUAGUAGGGAUGGAGUUGCCUUUUGGGGUGAUGAAAAUGUUCCGGAACUGGAUAGAAGUGAUGGUGCACACAAGUGUAUGUACUAAAUGCUACUGAGCUGUACUCUUCAAAAUGGUGAACUUUAUGUAUGUGAAUUUUGCCUCAAAUAGAGCGAGAGAGAUGGGGAGAGAACCUAGUUAUUUGAGUGAUCAUACCAAGCUGAGGGAGCACCAAUCAGGCAUUCUUAAUUCUCACCUGGGAAAAUUCAUUACUACCAGCAAGAAGGAUUUCUUCAAAGUUACCUGUGGUUCUUGGUACAUUUUAUGACAAAAUAUACUCACUUAAAAAAAAUAAUUAAUUAAUUAAUUUUUUAACAUCUUUAUCAGAGUAUAAUUGCUUUACAUUGUUGUGUUAGUUGCUGCUGUAUAACAAAGUGAAUCAGCUUUAUGAAUACAUAUAUCCCCAUAUCCCCUCCCUCUUGCGUCUCCCUCCCACCCUCUCUACCCCACCCCUGUAGGUGGACACAAAGCACCGAGCUGAUCUCCCUGUGCUAUGCAGCUGCUUCCCACUAGCUAUCGAUUUUACAUUUGGUAAUUAUACUCACUUUUUGAAAUAUAAACAAAGGUGGUCUGAUUCUUACCGUUCCUUUUGCAGGGAGAGAAAUGUGUAACAGACUGACUUCUUGUUCUCGAUGAAUCUCCUGGUUCAUAAGAUUUCAGGGCACGCUUUCCAGAGAAGAAAGCUUCUGUCUGAACUGAGCCUUGAAGGAUGAACUGGAGCCACGUAGAUGAAGAAUUUGGGAAGGAGGAGGGGGGAGAAGGAAUGGCAGUCAGAGGAAACAGCAUGAACAAAAUAAUGUAGCGUGAAAAUACAUGGUGGAUUGGAGGAGCCACAAGCAGGUCAUUGUGACUGAAUGGGAAGGUGAGGCAGAUGGGGCUGUAGAGAUAGGAAUGGAAGGCCUUUUAUGUGAUGCUAAGUUAUCCUGAAGGCAGUGGUGUUCAAGAAAGAGCUCACCUGUGCACAAGCUGAUCGUACAUAUCUCCCAACUCUGAGUUCGGUGAUGUCACAUUGGUCACUUGAAAUUGGCCAUAGCAGGGGCUUCGUGGACGUACAGCCUGUGUAUUUGCACAGAGCCCUGUGCUUGGUUUAAUGCUCUCUUGCCGCUGUCUUGAAAUUCUGAAUCAUUUUUAAACAAGUAACCCUACAUUUUAAUUUUGUACCGGGCCCUAGAAAUUAUGUAGCUGGUCCUGGGUGAGAGAAUUUACACUAUAGUAAUUGGAAAAUGCUACAAAUCAGGGCAGAUCUUUCGAGGACAGGCAUAAUUUUCGAGGUGUGAUUGGAUGGGGAUCGGAAAGUUAGGGGAGUCAGAGGAAAGAUGUCUAAUGAGUUCCUGCUUUAGGUGAUAAGAUGAUAGUGAAUUAUGGAUUCAUUUAUUAUUUAUAUAUCAAAGAAAUACGUAUAGUGACUGCCUCUUCUGCCUUAGGGACUUUGCAAAGCACUAGGAACUAAAAAACACAUAGAACUCAGUCUCGGGGAAAGGGGGGUCAGGAAGACUAGUCAUUAAUCUGAAUUAUGAAGCAGAAUAGAAGUGACGUACAAAGGCAAGUGAGCAAGAGAAUCUGUGUCUUUUCAGAGAACGGCACUCAGUCCCAUGUGGCUGAAGUUGGGUGCUUCUGGGGAUGUGAAGAGACCAAAGAAGGGUCAGUGGGUGCCAAUCACCAAGACCGUGGCCAAAAUUUUGGUUUAUUUGGCAGGUGGUGGGGAACCACUAUAGGCUAUAGGCAGAGUAGUGAUGUGCCUAGAUGUUCAUUGUAGAAAAAUCCUCUUUGCCAGUGUGGCAAGUAGAUUGGAGUCAGGGGGCCAGCCAGGAUGCAUUUACAGCUGUCUAGGAUGAGGCUGAGGGCUGCCUGCCAUGCUAAGGCAGCGGCAGUGGGAAGAAAGAGAAGGGAACUGUUUGAAAUAUUUAGGUAAAAAUGGCAGAAUUUGAUGUCUGGAUGUGGGUAAUGAGGGAGGGGAGAGAGACUAGGAUUCCUCCCAGGUUUCUGGAGUGGAUAUCUAUGUGGAAAAAUAAAGAGAAAAAAUGUUAAAAAUCUCUGAAACACCUCUUCUGUCCCUGAAACCAUCCUAUCUUAUUUUGCUCAGAGAGGGUACAUAAGUCCCACAUAGGCAAUCAAAACUGAAACAUGAAAAUGUGUAGUUUAAUGAAAAUAUGUUCCAGAAAAAAAUUAUACCUGGAAAGUGUUGGUUCAAUACAAAUGCAUCUUGUUUUUAAGCCAAUGUGGGAAAGGUAGACACACUUCAAUUUCCUAACAACAAUAAAAUGCUGAUGGGCACACCCAACAUCUCAUGGCCUGUUGCCUUAAUUUAGACAGAAUCCAGGCCAGGGAAGACAUAGGAAGAUGAUGAAAGGAUAGAGAUGUAAUUGAGGGCAGAUUGGUCAUAAGUGGAGUUUGGAGACUUAGCCUGUGGGGGGAUCCUUGCUUUAAAUGGAAACUAGUGCAAUACUGUCUAUUUAGAAUUUCAUGCUAAAGGGAAAAAUAAACCCAAUGACUGUACUUGGGAAAAUGAAAUGUAUUCAGUUUACUUCCACAAAGAGGUAUGGAUUCAUUUUAUUUUCAAAAUAUGUGUGUCAUAGAAAUACAAAGAGUUCAUCUCUAUCCUCAAGGAGCUUGUCAUCAUGAAUAGAAAUAACCAGCUCUAAUAGAUGAGACACAAUAUACAAAUGGACAAUGGCCAGACCUAUGGUGUAAAAUUUAUAAAGAUAACAUUCUGACCCCAAAUCUGCAGCA